CUGAUCUCCGCAGCCGACAGCAUGCUGUGUUUUCGUUUCGCUCGCCGCCAGCUCCGAGAUUUCACAGGCAUUAUUGUUUCCGACAUGUUCAAGGCUUCUCCCCCCUGUCCACCCUCUCCUUCCUCAGGACCAAGUCUCAAUACAACAUAUCAAUGUCUGAUACACGAUUGUCCAAGUCCAUGUCCUCGUCUUUGGCAAGUCCGUCUGGACGAGGGAACUCUCCAUUGCUGAUGAACGAAUGGCUGGAAAAAGCAGUAGCAAAGGAACGGGUUCGCAUCUUCGCCAGAGUCUCCUGAAUGGAGAUCCACUUCCGUCUUCUUACCUCAUCAGGAAGUAAAUAACAACAGCCACAGUGGUGAUGAACACCAGCACACCGCACACUGUCCCAAGGGCGA